rnacentral:rRNA from 1 species
GUAUUGGCCUACCGUGGCAAUGACGGGUAACGGGGAAUUAGGGUUCGAUUCCGGAGAGGGAGCCUGAGAAACGGCUACCACAUCUAAGGAAGGCAGCAGGCGCGCAAAUUACCCAAUCCUAAUACAGGGAGGUAGUGACAAGAAAUAACAAUACAGGACUUUUUGGUUUUGUAAUUGGAAUGAGUUAAGUAUAAACCCCUUUACAAGUAUCAAUUGGAGGGCAAGUCUGGUGCCAGCAGCCGCGGUAAUUCCAGCUCCAAUAGCGUAUAUUAAAGUUGUUGCAGUUAAAAAGCUCGUAGUUGGAUUUCUGUUAAUAAUUUAUAUAAAAUAUUUUGAUGAAUAUUUAUAUAAUAUUAACAUAAUUCAUAUUACUAUAUAUUUUAGUAUAUGAAAUUUUACUUUGAGAAAAUUAAAGUGCUUAAAGCAGGCAUAUGCCUUGAAUACUCCAGCAUGGAAUAAUAUUAAAGAUUUUUAUCUUUCUUAUUGGUUCUAAGAUAAGAAUAAUGAUUAAUAGGGACAGUUGGGGGCAUUUGUAUUUAA